rnacentral:rRNA from 1 species
UAAUACGUAGGGGGCAAGCGUUGUCCGGAAUUAUUGGGCGUAAAGCGCGCGCAGGCGGUCUGUUAAGUCUUGUGUUUAAGCCCGGGGCUCAACCCCGGUUCGCAUGGGAAACUGGCAGUACUUGAGUGCAGGAGAGGAAAGCGGAAUUCCACGUGUAGCGGUGAUAUGCGUAGAGAUGUGGAGGAACACCAGUGGCGAAGGCGGCUUUCUGGACUGUAACUGACGCUGAGGCGCGAAAGCGUGGGGAGCAAACAGGAUUAGAUACCCUGGUAGUCCACGCCGUAAACGAUGAGUGCUAGGUGUCGGGGGUUUCGAUACCCGCGGUGCCGAAGUUAACGCAAUAAGCACUCCGCCUGGGGAGUACGCUCGCAAGAGUGAA